rnacentral:tRNA from 1 species
GGGCCCGUGGUCCAGCUGGUUAAGACGCCACCCUCACACGGUGGAGAUCCCCGGUUCGAACCCGGGCGGGCCCACCA